CCCGCCUGGACCUCCUAGCAACCGCCUAGCCCGCCUAGCGCCCGCCUAAGGACCGCCUAGCAACCGCCUAGACUGCCUAGCCCGCCUAGCCCCAGCCUAGCCUGCCUAGCGCCCGCCUAGGCCAUUUAUUCCAUAAUAUUAACAAUAUGAGUGAGUAUGUUCAUGGAUUUAACUUGUAAAGAAGAUUUCCGAACAACAACAGAUAACCCAGAGAAGUUUCAUGGAGUUAUCACAAUGGUGGCUCUUGGCCAACACUGCUGUGGUUGCUUACUGCAGCAUGUAUCAAGACGGGGCGGCCUCGGACUGCUAAGAGAGCAACUGAAUAGGUGGAGCAGCGGCUCUCAAAAGCAGGUGGCAAGAAUACUAUGACAGCAAGGCAGGGAGAUAUGUCAGGAAGCAAGCGAGGAAGUACCAGACCUGGAGCAUCUCAGGGUAUCUGGUAGCUAAACUGAUGAUCGAGAACCCAGCCAAUCUUUCACUAAUCCCUCUUGAAGAGGACAAGAAGAUAGCCAAGCCAAGGCUCACCCGCUCUGCUUCCUUUUGAGUCAAACCAGUGGCAGCAGCAUACAUGAUGCAUUACAGAUUAAGAGGGCGACAGAGUCUGCUGAAGGUUGUGUGAAAUUAUGGCCUGGCUUCUCACUGUAUGUUUGGUCACCUGCAAAAUCAUGGACAGCAGUUGCACAGAUUUCACCAGCUUUCUUCUUGGGGAAAACUGCAUCAACAUGGCAUCCUAGAGCUUGAAGAGACUGAAAAGGCACAAUUACCUCAUAAUCUUCCAUGAAGUCCUACGAGUGUUGAGGGAGAGAAAAUGAAUGAUGCUUAGUAACUGUGAGAAAUAUAAAAUUUUGAUCAUUGACUAGAAUAAUACGUAGAUAUUAGGAGUCAGAGCAACAAGUCCAAGCAUGGAAAUGAAACCUCUGUUGACACGGGAAAUAGCGGUAGUACUACUGGGGAUAUGUCCACAGAAAGCACAGCUGAUACUCAUCAAGCUGUUAAUGGUUCUCAUGAAUUGAGGAAAACUGUAAUGGUACUGUAAAUGUGGAUUUGCAGCACCAAGAUGGUGAUGUAGAUAGGAAAUUGGAUUCUAAGCCUAGUUUCAAAAGGAACUCGUCGAGCAAUAAGAAUGAUGAGUCUCAGGUUUUAGGGAUGAAACAAAAAUACGAGUUGAUUGAUUUGUCACCAAGAGGAGUGGGGCUUAGCGUGUGAAUUCACUGAGGCAUCGAUUGAAUAUUCUUCUUAAUCCUGUUCAGGUUUUUGAGCUGAGCUCAACACAAGGACCGGAGGUGUGUCUUUAUUUAUUCAGAAAGGUGCCGCACUUCAGAGUUCUUGUUUGUGGGGGAGAUGGUACUGUUGGUUGGGUUCUGAAUUCCAUAGAAAAGCAAAACUUUGUGUCUCCUCCUCCAGUUGCUAUUCUACCUGUCGGAACAUGGAAUGAUCUGGCUAGAGUUUUGUCAUGGGGAGGUGGUUUGGGCUCAGUGGAGAGACAAGGAGGCCUUUGCACCGUUUUGCACCACAUAGAGCAUGUUGCAGUAACCAUUCUUGAUCGUUGGAAGGUAGCAAUUAUAAAUCAACAGGGGAAAGCAGCUCCAAUCGCCUAAGUUUAUCAACUACUAUCUUGGCCUUCAUGUUGAAGAGGGCUGAUGAGGAGCCACUUGGUCAUGCAGCUGCCAUUAUCACUGAUUCACUGGUGUUGUUGAGAAUGCUGAGACCAACCAUGUAAUAAGUGCAGUGCAGAAGCGAGCUCUUCUUCAAGAAAUGGUGCUGAGGCUGACUUAGAAGUUUCCUCUUGCUGCUUGCUGCUUGGAUUAGUAAUCAAAGUUUUGAUUGUAUCUUCCUUUUCUUUCUUUCAGAAAUAUUCUCUUGGAUGUCUUGACACUUUGUUUGGAAAUGCGACUCAAGCCUUGUGCGUAGAAGGGUGAAUAUAUUUGAAGAUAUAUUUUAAUGUGUAAAGAGUAUAGCCGGGCGGCUAUACUGUUUAAAUUUAUUUGAAUAUUUAAAUAGUAUAGGGGGUGACUAUACUUUUAAGAGUAUAGCCGGGCGGCUAUACUUUUUAAGUAUAUUUUAAUGUUUAAAUAUUGUAGAUUUUGUAGUAGGUUGUUAAGUGUAGUCAUAUCUCUUUAACGAUUUUGGGUGACAGACACAAGAUCACGAGUAAAGUGAGCAGGUAAAAUACUAAACAGUGAGGCUAAAAGUGAU